rnacentral:lncRNA from 1 species
GGUGGAGCUGUUGCCCCCCUGGGCCUCCAUGCCUCCAGUGGGCUUCUAGCCAGGGCACUAUCUGAAUGUCCUACCUCUAGCAGGCUUUGCCAAGAGAAACACUCUCUAGAUUUCUGGCAGUUGCAGAUGCAUCUGUGCAGCAUGUUUGAGAACUGGUGCUGUGCCAGGCAUCGUGCACAGAUGGGUACGGACGAUGACUGA